GAAGAGGCAGAUUCAGGAAGCCAUUACGCAGCUGGCUGGCAGCGGCUGAGCGAGUCGGAGCUGGGCCCUACGCAGUUUGCGUAACGAGGGGGGUUACCAAAGGCCUGGUGCUUGGCCUUGGACAAGCCCAGCCUAUCCUCUGUAGGAGGGGGUGGGUGAGGAGCGAGGCUAAGGGAGAAGAGAAGGGGAAUUUGGGCGGGUAGGGGAUUAUAAUUUAUUUAAAAGGCGGGGUGGGGAGAGGCCAUGGCUGUCCCAGCCAAGAAGAGGAAGAUGAACUUCUCUGAGCGAGAGGUGGAGAUCAUCGUGGAGGAGUUGGAAUUGAAGAAGCACCUGCUGGUGAACCACUUCAACGCCGGGGUCCCUCUGGCUGCCAAGAGCGCAGCGUGGCAUGGCAUCCUGAGAAGGGUCAAUGCCGUGGCCACCUGCCGCAGGGAGCUGCCCGAGGUCAAGAAAAAGUGGUCUGAUCUCAAGACCGAGGUCCGUCGCAAGGUUGCCCAGGUCCGGGCGGCUGUGGAGGGUGGUGAGGCCCCAGGGCCCACUGAGGACGACGGAGCCGGUGGGCCUGGGACAGGUGGUGGCAGUGGCGGUGGUGGCCCAGCUGUAGCCCCGUACUGCUCACCCCCAUGCAACAACGCAUCUGCAACCUCCUGGGCGAGGCCACCAUCAUCAGCCUGCCCAGUACCACAGAGAUCCACCCCGUGGCCCUUGGACCCACAGCCACUGCAGCCGCAGCCACAGUCACCCUGACACAGAUCCCGGCAGAGACCACCUACCACACGCUGGAGGAGGGAGUGGUGGAGUACUGCACGGCUGAGGCGCCCCCGCCCCUGCCACCCGAGGCCCCGUGGAGGUGAUGGCCCCGCACGCUGACGCCUCGGUCAAGCCACAGGCGCUCAAGAGCCGCAUAGCCCUCAACUCCGCCAAGCUGAUCCAGGAGCAGCGGGUCACCAACCUGCACGUGAAGGAGAUCGCCCAGCACCUGGAGCAGCAGAACGACCUGCUGCAGAUGAUCCGCCGCUCCCAGGAGGUCCAGGCCUGCGCCCAGGAGCGCCAGGCUCAGGCCAUGGAGGGCACCCAGGCGGCCCUGAGCGUCCUCAUCCAGGUCCUCCGGCCCAUGAUCAAAGAUUUCCGCCGCUACUGCAAAGCAACAUGCCCACCCUGCCACUGCCUCUGACCCUGGACAGGUGGCCCAGAACGGGCAGCCUGACGGCGUCAUCCAGUGAGGGCCGGGGUCCAGCCAGCCUUCCACCGGGAGUGGAUGACACGCCGUGGUCUCGCAAGUGGGUCGUGUGGGUGGCCUCAGGCUGGGACCCGCCCCGUGGACAGCUCCAAUGCGAUAGACAUUUAGGGGUCCACUGUUUCUGAGGCUGGAAGGAGACUGGGCAGAAGAAUGGGUUGGGUUCCUAGGACUCAAACUCUCUUACCCCUGCCCCUUGAACUGUCCUGCGAAGAGCCUGAAGAUUGGCUAGGUGGGUGGGGGUCGGGCGGCUGGUGAUGGGACCCAAGUUGGCAUGCGCCAGGGCCUGUGACGUGACCCAGACUCAGACCAGGACCACUGCAAGGAACGGUCUCUCCCUAGCGGGGGGUGGGGAGGGAUGGGGUCUCACAGCCGGGCGUCUGCGCUGAAACACCCCCUCCGUCGAGGUGCCAUCUUCCGGAGUAAGCUAAUGUCAGUAGUGCUGGCGGUAGCACCAUAAUAUCUCCUUCCUCCCUCGGGAGGCAGACCGCCGUGUGGGCCUGAGGAGGAAACCCCACCCUUUCCUCCUUGUCACUGUGCCUCAGUUCUCAGGGGACUCUAGUUAGCGCCAUGCUCUCCACCCACCCAGCGCGCCUGGGCACAGCAGGGGCCCCUGCAUGACACCCAGGCUGCGGCCCAUCAGGAAUGCUGGCUGUGGUGGGGACAGCUUGGCCGCCGUCUGGUCUUCCACUGCGACCCCGGGCAGCCCUUUGGUGGUCUGUCCCAACGGCUUUUGACUCAGGUCAAGCAUCAGGCUUUGGGUGCUGUCAAUUUUCUUUGCUGUCCCACAGCAGCGGCUCUGAGGCGACCUGUGGGCUCCUUCCAGAAGGCUUGCUUCAAGCCAGUGGUAUUUAUUCGGUGCAUGAACCUGCUCUGGGAAGGCCUCCAGGACUUCGGAGGGCCGCUCUGGCCACGCCCUUCCUCCUUUCUGCUCUGCUGCCUGGGUGUUUCCCAAACUCAGCGCAGAGAAACACCUGCUCAGCAUCCUCCCCCGCGACUCCCUUCUCACCGUGUUCGGCGCCUCGUGUUUGUGUUCUCGGGAGACCUCCACCCACUAGUUGGAGGAAGCUGAAGGCCUGGUUGGCCCUGAUGGGUGCGGUGAGGGAGUUGGAGACCUACGAAGUGGGACCUUGGACUUUUGUGCUUGGGGAACAGCAGACCAGUCUUGGGGUGCUGACAGAGGUGGUGUUCCCUGUUCUGUCUUGACACUUUCCCCCCAUUUGUAGAGACUUUACCCAAGUGGCAUUUGUCUGUUUUGUUUGCAGAGCAGCCACAGUCCCCAAUCAUUUCCUGCUUGCCUUUUCUUUUUCCUUUUUUUUCUUUUUUCCUUUUCCUUUUUCUUUUUUUUUUUUUUUUUUUUUUUUUGGCUUUUUAGGGCCGCACCUGCGCAUAUGGAGGUUCCCAGGCUUGGGGACUAAUUGGAGCUGCAGCUGCCGGCCUACGCCAGAGCCCCAGCCACACGGGAUCCAAGCUGUGUCUGCAACCUACACCACAGCUCACGGCAACGCCGGAUCCUUAACCCAGUGAGCGAGGCCAGGGAUCGAACCUGCAACCUCAUGGUUCCUAGUUGGAUUCAUUUCUGCCGCGCCAUGAUGGGAACUCAUCCCGCUUGCCAUUUUGCUGCCAAGGCCUUGGCCUCCCGUGACCGAUGGUUACAACUCAAGGCUCCAGAGCUCAGCUAAACCACGAGGUACUGCCCUUCUGGGCACGUUUAGAAUCGCCCACCUCCGCUCUUGCAUUUAUGGGACGAUGCCCCCAAAGACAGUUGGGUGGUGACUGCCAUACUACAACCUCUCCGUGGGGAGCCGAGGGCAGUGCCAGCUGCAGAGCAUUGGAGAGGAAUCAGACUGGUAAGGGAGCCGGGUGGCAGAAGGAAAGCUCUCAGCGUGGCUGGGAAGCGGCAGCCUGGGCGCCCUCCCUCCGUGGAGCCUGGUGGCCCCAGCAGGGUGGCUUCGGGGACUUCCUGAGGGUUUGUACCUUGGUUUGGUUUUUCUCCGGGGUUGGCAAUCUGAGCCAAUGUUGUGUCUGUUCCAAUUGCGUGUAACGAGGAAGUUUGGAUCAUUUCAACGGACUGGUUCUUUCCAGGUCAUAAUUUUAAAUUAAAGAAAUAUCACGUUUUUAAGUAUACA
rnacentral:lncRNA from 1 species